rnacentral:rRNA from 1 species
AUUGAACGCUGGCGGCAGGCCUAACACAUGCAAGUCGAGCGGAGCGGCGGACGGGUGAGUAAUGCCUCGGAAUCUGCCUGGUAGUGGGGGAUAACGUCCGGAAACGGGCGCUAAUACCGCAUACUAUCAGAUGAGCCUAGGUCGGAUUAGCUAGUAGGUGGGGUAACGGCUCACCUAGGCGACGAUCCCUAGCUGGUCUGAGAGGAUGACCAGCCACACUGGAACUGAGACACGGGCCAGACUCCUACGGGAGGCAGCAGUGGGGAAUAUUGCACAAUGGGCGCAAGCCUGAUGCAGCCAUGCCGCGUGUGUGAAGAAGGCCUUCGGGUUGUAAAGCACUUUCAGCGGGGAGGCGUUACCCGCAGAAGAAGCACCGGCUAACUCCGUGCCAGCAGCCGCGGUAAUAC